rnacentral:tRNA from 1 species
AAUCUUAACUUUAAUUAAACUGCAAAUUUAAUUUUGAAUAAAUAUUCUAAGAUUU